rnacentral:rRNA from 1 species
GACGAACGCUGGCGGCGUGCUUAACACAUGCAAGUCGAACGGAAAGGCCCUGCUUUUGUGGGGUGCUCGAGUGGCGAACGGGUGAGUAACACGUGAGUAACCUGCCCUUGACUUUGGGAUAACUUCAGGAAACUGGGGCUAAUACCGGAUAGGAGCUCCUGCUGCAUGGUGGGGGUUGGAAAGUUUCGGCGGUUGGGGAUGGACUCGCGGCUUAUCAACUUGUUGGUGGGGUAGUGGCUUACCAAGGCUUUGACGGGUAGCCGGCCUGAGAGGGUGACCGGCCACAUUGGGACUGAGAUACGGCCCAGACUCCUACGGGAGGCAGCAGUGGGGAAUAUUGCACAAUGGGCGGAAGCCUGAUGCAGCAACGCCGCGUGCGGGAUGACGGCCUUCGGGUUGUAAACCGCUUUCGCCUGUGACGAAGCGUGAGUGACGGUAAUGGGUAAAGAAGCACCGGCUAACUACGUGCCAGCAGCCGCGGUGAUACGUAGGGUGCGAGCGUUGUCCGGAUUUAUUGGGCGUAAAGGGCUCGUAGGUGGUUGAUCGCGUCGGAAGUGUAAUCUUGGGGCUUAACCCUGAGCGUGCUUUCGAUACGGGUUGACUUGAGGAAGGUAGGGGAGAAUGGAAUUCCUGGUGGAGCGGUGGAAUGCGCAGAUAUCAGGAGGAACACCAGUGGCGAAGGCGGUUCUCUGGGCCUUUCCUGACGCUGAGGAGCGAAAGCGUGGGGAGCGAACAGGCUUAGAUACCCUGGUAGUCCACGCUGUAAACGGUGGGUACUAGGUGUGGGGUCCAUUCCACGGGUUCCGUGCCGUAGCUAACGCUUUAAGUACCCCGCCUGGGGAGUACGGCCGCAAGGCUAAAACUCAAAGGAAUUGACGGGGCCCCGCACAAGCGGCGGAGCAUGCGGAUUAAUUCGAUGCAACGCGUAGAACCUUACCUGGGUUUGACAUGGAUCGGGAGCGCUCAGAGAUGGGUGUGCCUCUUUUGGGGUCGGUUCACAGGUGGUGCAUGGCUGUCGUCAGCUCGUGUCGUGAGAUGUUGGGUUAAGUCCCGCAACGAGCGCAACCCUUGUUCACUGUUGCCAGCACGUUAUGGUGGGGACUCAGUGGAGACCGCCGGGGUCAACUCGGAGGAAGGUGGGGAUGACGUCAAGUCAUCAUGCCCCUUAUGUCCAGGGCUUCACGCAUGCUACAAUGGCUGGUACAGAGAGUGGCGAGCCUGUGAGGGUGAGCGAAUCUCGGAAAGCCGGUCUCAGUUCGGAUUGGGGUCUGCAACUCGACCUCAUGAAGUCGGAGUCGCUAGUAAUCGCAGAUCAGCAACGCUGCGGUGAAUACGUUCCCGGGGCU